rnacentral:tRNA from 1 species
GGAAUAAUAGUGAAAUUCACAUUAUUAUUUCAUGAUAAAAAUGGUUAGUCCUCUUUAUC